rnacentral:rRNA from 1 species
GACGAACGCUGGCGGCGUGCUUAACACAUGCAAGUCGAACGGAAAGGCCCUGCUUUUGUGGGGUGCUCGAGUGGCGAACGGGUGAGUAACACGUGAGUAACCUGCCCUUGACUUUGGGAUAACUUCAGGAAACUGGGGCUAAUACCGGAUAGGAGCUCCUGCUGCAUGGUGGGGGUUGGAAAGUUUCGGCGGUUGGGGAUGGACUCGCGGCUUAUCAGCUUGUUGGUGGGGUAGUGGCUUACCAAGGCUUUGACGGGUAGCCGGCCUGAGAGGGCGACCGGCCACAUUGGGACUGAGAUACGGCCCAGACUCCUACGGGAGGCAGCAGUGGGGAAUAUUGCACAAUGGGCGGAAGCCUGAUGCAGCAACGCCGCGUGCGGGAUGACGGCCUUCGGGUUGUAAACCGCUUUCGCCUGUGACGAAGCGUGAGUGACGGUAAUGGGUAAAGAAGCACCGGCUAACUACGUGCCAGCAGCCGCGGUGAUACGUAGGGUGCGAGCGUUGUCCGGAUUUAUUGGGCGUAAAGGGCUCGUAGGUGGUUGAUCGCGUCGGAAGUGUAAUCUUGGGGCUUAACCCUGAGCGUGCUUUCGAUACGGGUUGACUUGAGGAAGGUAGGGGAGAAUGGAAUUCCUGGUGGAGCGGUGGAAUGCGCAGAUAUCAGGAGGAACACCAGUGGCGAAGGCGGUUCUCUGGGCCUUUCCUGACGCUGAGGAGCGAAAGCGUGGGGAGCGAACAGGCUUAGAUACCCUGGUAGUCCACGCUGUAAACGGUGGGUACUAGGUGUGGGGUCCAUUCCACGGGUUCCGUGCCGUAGCUAACGCUUUAAGUACCCCGCCUGGGGAGUACGGCCGCAAGGCUAAAACUCAAAGGAAUUGACGGGGCCCCGCACAAGCGGCGGAGCAUGCGGAUUAAUUCGAUGCAACGCGUAGAACCUUACCUGGGUUUGACAUGGAUCGGGAGCGCUCAGAGAUGGGUGUGCCUCUUUUGGGGUCGGUUCACAGGUGGUGCAUGGCUGUCGUCAGCUCGUGUCGUGAGAUGUUGGGUUAAGUCCCGCAACGAGCGCAACCCUUGUUCACUGUUGCCAGCACGUUAUGGUGGGGACUCAGUGGAGACCGCCGGGGUCAACUCGGAGGAAGGUGGGGAUGACGUCAAGUCAUCAUGCCCCUUAUGUCCAGGGCUUCACGCAUGCUACAAUGGCUGGUACAGAGAGUGGCGAGCCUGUGAGGGUGAGCGAAUCUCGGAAAGCCGGUCUCAGUUCGGAUUGGGGUCUGCAACUCGACCUCAUGAAGUCGGAGUCGCUAGUAAUCGCAGAUCAGCAACGCUGCGGUGAAUACGUUCCCGGGGCU